CCUUGUCAACAUCCUUCUAGCUAAAAUCCAAGUCGCCUCAUUAUUAUACAACUCUGUUGAAACACAAACUAAUUCAUCAACAUUUACUAUAUAAUUCCUUAAUCCUCUAUUUCAUAACAAAAUUCACGCAUCCCGAAAGUUUCUCUCUGUGUUGAGAUCUUGAAAGCAUGACAUCGGUUAUUGAGCAGCCGACUUUAUCUUCCCUGGCUGGAAAGUCUUCUGGGGAGAUUGAUACCGAACAAGAGCCUCUUAUUAGUGGUACAAACAGUUCAGAAGAUUAUUCUGUUUUUGCUACAAUUCUCCCUUGAUGAAGAGUUAAGUUG